rnacentral:rRNA from 1 species
GAAUUUUGGACAAUGGGCGAAAGCCUGAUCCAGCAAUGCCGCGUUCAGGAUGAAGGCCUUCGGGUUGUAAACUGCUUUUGUACGGAACGAAAAUCUUUGGGUUAAUACUCUGGAGUCAUGCCGGUACCGUAAGAAUACGCACCGUCUAACUGCGUGCCAGCCGCCGCGGGAAUACGUAGGGUACAAGCGGUAAUCGGAAUUACUGGGCGUAAAGCUGGCGCAGGCGGUUAGAGAAGACAGAUGUGAAAUCCCCGGGCUCAACCUGGGAACUGCAUUUGUGACUGUAUAGAUAGAGUACGGUAGAGGGGGAUGGAAUUCCGCGUGUAGCAGUGAAAUGCGUAGAUAUAGGAAGGAACACCAGUGGCGAAGGCGACCACCUGGGCUAAUACUGACACUGAGGUGCGAAAGCGUGGGGAGCAAACAGG